UAGGGAAUCUUCGGCAAUGGACGGAAGUCUGACCGAGCAACGCCGCGUGAGUGAAGAAGGUUUUCGGAUCGUAAAGCUCUGUUGUAAGAGAAGAACGAGUGUGAGAGUGGAAAGUUCACACUGUGACGGUAUCUUACCAGAAAGGGACGGCUAACUACGUGCCAGCAGCCGCGGUAAUACGUAGGUCCCGAGCGUUGUCCGGAUUUAUUGGGCGUAAAGCGAGCGCAGGCGGUUAGAUAAGUCUGAAGUUAAAGGCUGUGGCUUAACCAUAGUAGGCUUUGGAAACUGUUUAACUUGAGUGCAAGAGGGGAGAGUGGAAUUCCAUGUGUAGCGGUGAAAUGCGUAGAUAUAUGGAGGAACACCGGUGGCGAAAGCGGCUCUCUGGCUUGUAACUGACGCUGAGGCUCGAAAGCGUGGGGAGCAAACAGGAUUAGAUACCCUGGUAGUCCACGCCGUAAACGAUGAGUGCUAGGUGUUAGACCCUUUCCGGGGUUUAGUGCCGCAGCUAACGCAUUAAGCACUCCGCCUGGGGAGUACGACCGCAAGGUUG
rnacentral:rRNA from 1 species